rnacentral:rRNA from 1 species
AUUGAACGCUGGCGGCAUGCUUUACACAUGCAAGUCGAACGGUAACAGGCCGCCAGGUGCUGACGAGUGGCGAACGGGUGAGUAAUGCAUCGGAACGUGCCCAGUCGUGGGGGAUAACUACUCGAAAGAGUAGCUAAUACCGCAUACGAUCUAUGGAUGAAAGCGGGGGACCGUAAGGCCUCGCGCGAUUGGAGCGGCCGAUGUCAGAUUAGGUAGUUGGUGGGGUAAAGGCUCACCAAGCCAACGAUCGGUAGCUGGUCUGAGAGGACGACCAGCCACACUGGGACGGAGACACGGCCCAGACUCCUACGGGAGGCAGCAGUGGGGAAUUUUGGACAAUGGGCGCAAGCCUGAUCCAGCAAUGCCGCGUGCAGGAAGAAGGCCUUCGGGUUGUAAACUGCUUUUGUACGGAACGAAACGGCUCUGGUUAAUACCCGGGGCUAAUGACGGUACCGGAAGAAUAAGCACCGGCUAACUACGUG